rnacentral:lncRNA from 1 species
GGUGGAAGCAAUACAAUGGAAGAUUGUCAUAAACUAACUCCUGACAAAAUUCAUUGAUUUUGCUCGUCUAUUUGUCGACAAACUGCAAGACUACCUUCUCAGGCAACUUAUCCUUUAAAUCAAGGAUCAUCUUGACCCUUGCUAUACUAGGACGAGAUUUAAUACGAGUCGCUUUAUAAAGUGAUAUGGGCAUACCAGCAGCAGAAGCUAUUGAUAAUAAUGCUUUUGUGGCAAACAACUCCGGAGGUAAGUUUGGCAUCGAUAUCCAUACAACAUCCUUUGUCGUCUCCUCCAUUACAUUAAAAUCAAUAGACCAUGGAAAUACUCUAAUUUGGUGCUCACUUCCAUUGUGAUUAAAGUACAGAACUAAACUCUCAAGUGAUGUACGAAAAUCAUCAAAUUGAUCCAUCCUGAUAAGAAUUUGUCUUGGUGCAAGUUUCCCGAUCAAAGCUUGUCCUUUAAUUCCAAGGAUUUCUAGCAGUAGGUUCCUCAAGGUUGAUAACUACAUCUUGUUUGAAGAUAGUUUCACCACAAUAGCUUGAUGCAGUCCCUCCUCUUUUUCAUAAUCUAGUCGUUCUUCCUUUGUAAAUUUAAUAGUUGGUACUCCA